AGGCCGGUAGCUCAGCCUGGUAGAGCACUCGACUUUUAACAAAGUCGGGCUUUUACUCGACCGGAAGGUUAUCGAGUGGUCGCGGGUUCGAACCCCGUCCGGCCUA
rnacentral:tRNA from 1 species